rnacentral:rRNA from 1 species
AACGAACGCUGGCGGCAUGCCUAACACAUGCAAGUCGAACGAGACCUUCGGGUCUAGUGGCGCACGGGUGCGUAACGCGUGGGAAUCUGCCCUGGGGUGCGGAAUAACUCGGAGAAAUCCGUGCUAAUACCGCAUAAUGUCUUCGGACCAAAGAUUUAUCGCCCUGGGAUGAGCCCGCGUAGGAUUAGCUAGUUGGUGGGGUAAAGGCCUACCAAGGCGACGAUCCUUAGCUGGUCUGAGAGGAUGAUCAGCCACACUGGGACUGAGACACGGCCCAGACUCCUACGGGAGGCAGCAGUGGGGAAUAUUGGACAAUGGGCGAAAGCCUGAUCCAGCAAUGCCGCGUGAGUGAUGAAGGCCCUAGGGUUGUAAAGCUCUUUUACCCGGGAUGAUAAUGACAGUACCGGGAGAAUAAGCUCCGGCUAACUCCGUGCCAGCCGCCGCGGUAAAAC